rnacentral:tRNA from 1 species
GUCCUCGUAGCUCAGCGGAUAGAGCACUUGGCUUCGAACCAAGGGGCCGCAGGUUCGAGUCCUGCCGAGGACA